rnacentral:rRNA from 1 species
ACGCUCGACACCUACGGGAGGCAGCAGUGGGGAAUAUUGCACAAUGGGGGAAACCCGUGAUGCAGCGACGCCGCGUGGAGGAAGAAGGUCUUCGGAUUGUAAACUCCUGUUGUUGGGGAAAAAGAGGAUGGUACCCAACAAGGAAGUGACGGCUAACUACGUGCCAGCAGCCGUGGUAAUCUGAGCGGGCUGCAAGGC